UCCGUAGGGUGCGAGCGUUAAUCGGAAUUACUGGGCGUAAAGCGUGCGCAGGCGGUUUUGUAAUCCAGAUUUGAAAUCCCCGGGCUUAACCUGGGAAUGGCAUUUGGGACUGCAAGGCUUGAGUGCGGCAGAGGAGACUGGAAUUCCUGGUGUAGCAGUGAAAUGCGUAGAUAUCAGGAGGAAUACCGAUGGCGAAGGCAGGUCUCUGGGCUGACACUGACGCUCAUGCACGAAAGCGUGGGGAGCAAACAGG
rnacentral:rRNA from 1 species